rnacentral:tRNA from 1 species
AAUAAAGUGCCUGAAAAUAGGGCUAUCUUGAUAGGAUAGAUAAUGUGAAAUAUUAAAUGUUCACCUUUAUUA